CCUACGGGAGGCAGCAGUGAGGAAUAUUGGUCAAUGGGCGAGAGCCUGAACCAGCCAAGUCGCGUGAGGGAAGACGGUCCUAUGGAUUGUAAACCUCUUUUGCCGGGGAGCAAAAAGCGGUACGUGUACCGCAUCGCGAGUACCCGGAGAAAAAGCAUCGGCUAACUCCGUGCCAGCAGCCGCGGUAAUACGGAGGAUGCGAGCGUUAUCCGGAUUUAUUGGGUUUAAAGGGUGCGCAGGCGGCGAGUUAAGUCAGCGGUAAAAUUUCGGGGCUCAACCCCGACGAGCCGUUGAAACUGGAAGUCUCGAGUGGGAGAGAAGUAUGCGGAAUGCGCGGUGUAGCGGUGAAAUGCAUAGAUAUCGCGCAGAACUCCGAUUGCGAAGGCAGCAUGCCGGCUCCACACUGACGCUGAGGCACGAAAGCGUGGGUAUCGAACAGGAUUAGAUACCCUUGUAGUC
rnacentral:rRNA from 1 species